AUGAAGCCCAUCCUCAUCUCAGUGCUUGUGAUGAUGUUCACACUCAGAGGAGCACGAGCCCAGACAGUGACUCAGACUGAGGACCGCAUCUCUGUCGUUGAAGGGGCCCCAGUGCACGUGAAGUGCAGCUACUCAUCUUCAGUGAGUCCUUAUCUCUUCUGGUAUGUCCAGUACCCCAGUCAAGGUCCCCAGUUACUCCUGAAACACACCUCAGUAGAGAGCAUCAAAGGUUUCACGGCCAACCUUAACAAGGGUGAGAAGUCCUUCUAUCUGAAGAAACCAUCAGCUCAAGAGGAAGACUCAGCCAUGUAUUACUGCGCUCUGAGUGACACAGUGACUGGGUUUACAAGGGAAGCAGAGCACAAACCCUUCAGGAGUUACAGAAAAUAUUUCUCUGUCAGUUCUCUAUUUGGCCACAGGAUGAACAGCCAACAAGGAGAACGGAAUCUUCAGGCCCUGAGCAUCUCAGGGUGCUCAGAGGGUGAAAAUGCCACCAUGAACUGCAGUUAUGAAACUAGUAUGAACAGUUUACAGCGGUAUAGACAAGAUGCAGGUAGAGGACUUGCAUGA